ACAUACCUCUGGUGUACCAGUUGUCGUGCCAACGGCAUAGCUGGGUAGCUAUGUAUGGACGGGAUAAGUGCUGAAAGCAUCUAAGCAUGAAGCCCCCCUCAAGAUGAGAUUUCCCAACUUCGGUUAUAAGAUUCCUCGAAGAUGACGAGGUUAAUAGGUUCGAGGUGGAAGCGUGGUGACACGUGGAGCUGACGAAUACUAAUCGAUCGAAGACUUAAUCAA
rnacentral:rRNA from 1 species